rnacentral:sRNA from 1 species
GCGUUUUGGGGACGGGGGCUGGUGAGGCUCACGUUGGAGGGCUUCGCGUCUGCUUCGGAGACCGUAAGGAUAUUGAUGACCAUGAGAUCCCUGCUCAGAACCCCCUUCCUGUGUGGCCUGCUCUGGGCCUUUUGUGCCCCAGGCGCCAGGGCUGAGGAGCCUGCAGCCAGCUUCUCCCAACCCGGCAGCAUGGGCCUGGAUAAGAACACAGUGCACGACCAAGAGCAUAUCAUGGAGCAUCUAGAAGGUGUCAUCAACAAACCAGAGGCAGAGAUGUCGCCACAAGAAUUGCAGCUCCAUUACUUCAAAAUGCAUGAUUAUGAUGGCAAUAAUUUGCUUGAUGGCUUAGAACUCUCCACAGCCAUCACUCAUGUCCAUAAGGAGGUAGGUCUGGCAGUGGCUUGGGGGACUGUAUCACAGAAAGGCUUCCCUUUGUUAAUUUGGUCCCCAGUCUUGUUGACUUGUGUUGUCCUUAUGUGCCAAGAGUGCUGCUUCUUCACUGGGCAUGGUGGCUCACAUCUGUAAUCCCAGCACUUUGGGAGGCCAAAGUGGAAGGAUCACUUGAGCCAGGAGUUCAAGACCAGCCUUGGCAAUAUAGUGAGACCCUGUCUCUACAAAACAAGCAAAACAAAAAUUAAAAAAUUAGCCAGGCCUGGUAGUGCAUG